rnacentral:rRNA from 2 species
AAGUCGAACGAACUCUGGUAUUGAUUGGUGCUUGCAUCAUGAUUUACAUUUGAGGUGAGUGGCGAACUGGUGAGUAACACGUGGGAAACCUGCCCAGAAGCGGGGGAUAACACCUGGAAACAGAUGCUAAUACCGCAUAACAACUUGGACCGCAUGGUCCGAGCUUGAAAGAUGGCUUCGGCUAUCACUUUUGGAUGGUCCCGCGGCGUAUUAGCUAGAUGGUGGGGUAACGGCUCACCAUGGCAAUGAUACGUAGCCGACCUGAGAGGGUAAUCGGCCACAUUGGGACUGAGACACGGCCCAAACUCCUACGGGAGGCAGCAGUAGGGAAUCUUCCACAAUGGACGAAAGUCUGAUGGAGCAACGCCGCGUGAGUGAAGAAGGGUUUCGGCUCGUAAAACUCUGUUGUUAAAGAAGAACAUAUCUGAGAGUAACUGUUCAGGUAUUGAC